rnacentral:lncRNA from 1 species
CAUUGUUGACAUGCGAAUUACCCGUGGGGUGGACGCUCAAUUUUACUACUAAAAAGAAAUCUAUCAGAACACAGGAAACAGAAGAAAAAAAAACCAACUUGUGACCUACAGCUAGACCAUACUAGAGACGAACCACCAAACCAACCAGCUAACACUAUAUAGAUGCAGUUGUUGGGUUAUUUAACAUUGUCAGCCUCCUCAUUAACUACAGCACAAAUCUAACACAUGAUCCAACGGCCUAGA